ensembl:lncRNA
CUUUUAUUGUGCUCGUAACCCUCAGAAUUACGAGUAAUACUUUGGCGUGAUGUCACUCAGGAAGUUGAACCACCCGUUUGUCACAAUGUCACUUCCUGUGCUGCCUGAAGGUGACCCUGAAGGUGCCUUACUAUGUAUGAGCAAGCUUCACCGAGCAAUAUUCUGGAAAAGACCUGAAGACCGCAUCUCCAACCUCAGGAACAGUUGCUGGAAGGAGACGAAACAGACAUGAGUCCUGCAACUCUAUGAUGGCGCUGGAAGAGAUGGCUUCCGUUUUACAGGCACCUAACCAAUUGUGAGGAAGGCUUGCUGUACCUUGCUCAUCAUUUCGGAGACUGACUUGUACCAAAGGGCUCAGCAGAUGGGAACGCCUACGACUGUCAGAGAUUCAGAUCACGAUACAGGGAUAAGAACCCACAAACAUACAGAAGGGUACGUUGUAAUGGUGGGCACCAAUAUCUAAAAUUCCCACAGACAUACACGCAUAUAAAUUAAUGCUACACACAAAUCACAAUUGCUGCUGCCAGACUCUUAUUAUGAUUGCUAAAUACUGCACAAUUUAAACACUUGCCCCCAAAUCCCCACCUUCCCCAAAACACAUGUAAAUAUUGGACUAUAAAUUGCACCUUACUGUAUUAUUCUUAUGCUAAAAUGUUUAUUAUAUUCUACUGAGCCAUUUACUUCAUGUUCCUAUUCUUAUCUUUUAUUAUUUCUUAUUGUUGUUGCAUUGUCCAGAAAGAAGAUGCAAGUAAGCAUUUCAUUGGCUGGUGUAUACCAUGUGUAUCCUGUAGAACUUGAAAAUAAAACUUGAAAAAUAUAUCAGUAUCGCUUGAUACUGUUUUGACCUCAAUAUUCUUUGAUUUAGGUUUGAUAUCGAUAUGAUCAAGACAUAUCACGCUAUUGGUUUAUCCUUCCUGUUAACCUAUGCUAUUAUGUAAAAAAAAAGCAUAAAUGACUGUUCCUGCAUGCACAAAAUCCUUUCGCAGAUGUUCACAUGCUCUCAACUUAAUAUACUUAACGUGAGCAUUUGUCUCCAAUAAAAAAAAUGCUUGGACAUGUGGUGCGGCAGGUAGCCUAGUGGAUAGUGUUGGGCCAGUAACCGAAAGGUCGCUGGUUAGAAUACCCAAGCUGACAAGGUGAAGUCUGUCUGUGCCCUUGAGCAAGGCUCCAGGGGCGCCGUACUACCAUGGCUGACUCUGUAAAACACAUUUUACUGCAUCUGUGACAAUACAUUUGUUUUUUUCUGGUUUCAGCAAUUUAGUUGAUUUGAUAAUGUGAAACCAACCGGACCAAAUGUAAAUGAAAUACUACAGCUCAGAACUGUGUGUGAAAUGCCCUUACUUGCCUGCUGAUAGAUCAUUGACAGAGGAUGGGUUUCCCAUUGCACUGUUACAAUAUUUUUUAUUAACCAAUGUGUUAUUAAAAAAAUGUAACUGAUAGAGGCCCAUGAUUAACAUUUUUGAUGUGUGCUUGCAUGACCUGCUGCCCAUCUGCUCUGAUUUGAACUUCAAUGGAAUAGGUUCUGUUGUUGGAGAUCCAUUUGAUGUUUUGAUUGCUCCAGAUUUAUUUUCCUCCUUGGAUUAUUUGUUACUUGAAUCGAAUGUGAAGAAAUCAAUAGAGAACGCUCUAUUCAAGCCAACACACACAAACUGGAGCAUAAGAUUUGAGCAGCAAUUAGAGAGAGAAAAUGCCUUGCAGACAUAUGGGCUGUGGGGGGACCCCCCCCUCUCUCUCUGCACACUCCUGCGGACAGACUUAACUUCCUGUAGAACUGUGAAACAAACUGACAAGGUGAUGGCUGGUUUAAAUACAAACACUAGUGUUUCUCUUUUUUUAAAGCCUUGAAAUGAAUUUUUGAAUAUACUUUUGAGAUACUGCUCUUUCCCAUAUUAUGCUUUGAUAAAUAUUUAGAAGAACCAACUCAAGGCCUUUAAGGAUAGACAUCUGAGCCAGUUUUUAUAACUUUUAUAGUUAGUACCUGUAUAUACCAUACAUUUUUAUUACAUGGGCUAGAUGGAAUUAUGUAGCUAAUGUAAUUAUAUAAUUGAAUGUACCCUGUGGAUUUGCUUGUAGCUUGGUGGAUUGCAAAUUUAUUGCACAAAUGAAUCUGUAUUUAUUCAAAUUAAACAAAUAUCAAAUGUUUCUUUAUAAUCACUAUAAUGACCUAGUGUGGUUUUAUUUUAUUACAGAGACAAAUAUUUGAUCCAUGAACAAAAUAUU